rnacentral:tRNA from 1 species
ACUGCGGUGUCCGAGUGGUUAAGGACUUGGACUUGAAAUCCAAUGGGUUAGACCCGCACAGGUUCGAGUCCUGUCCGCAGCG